rnacentral:rRNA from 1 species
AACGAACGCUGGCGGCAGGCCUAACACAUGCAAGUCGAACGUGAAGCCACCUUCGGGUGGUGGAAAGUGGCAGACGGGUGAGUAACGCGUGGGAACGUGCCUUUCGGUUCGGAAUAACCCAGGGAAACUUGGGCUAAUACCGGAUACGCCCUUCGGGGGAAAGAUUUAUCGUCGAAAGAUCGGCCCGCGUCGGAUUAGCUAGUUGGUAGGGUAAUGGCCUACCAAGGCGACGAUCCGUAGCUGGCCUGAGAGGAUGACCAGCCACACUGGGACUGAGACACGGCCCAGACUCCUACGGGAGGCAGCAGUGGGGAAUAUUGGACAAUGGGCGGAAGCCUGAUCCAGCCAUGCCGCGUGGGUGAAGAAGGCCCUAGGGUUGUAAACCCCUUUCAGCGGGGAAGAUAAUGACGGUACCCGCAGAAGAAGCCCCGGCUAACUCCGUGCCAGCCGCCGCAGUAA